UACAGAGGUCUCAAGCGUUGUUCGGAUUCAUUGGGCGUAAAGGGUGCGUAGGCGGCGCGGUAAGUCGGGUGUGAAAUUUCGGAGCUUAACUCCGAAACUGCAUUCGAUACUGCCGUGCUUGAGGACUGGAGAGGAGACUGGAAUUUACGGUGUAGCAGUGAAAUGCGUAGAUAUCGUAAGGAAGACCAGUGGCGAAGGCGGGUCUCUGGACAGUUCCUGACGCUGAGGCACGAAGGUCAGGGGAGCAAACGGG
rnacentral:rRNA from 1 species